AAAGUCAGUCAUCAAACACAAAAAAAUCCGGACUGUCAACGCGAGCUGUCACUGGCUUUUCUUCGUGUUUUCUCUCUGUGGGUCAUAUGACAUCAAAGGAUCAAGUGACUGACUGAUUGUGUAUUCUGCGAGGAAAAACUCGGAAAAACUCCCCCAGCAGUGUCGGAACUGUGUUUACGUUUCAGCCAACAUCCGCCAAGAUGCGAUACACUCUCGGUUACUCCUUCACUGGCACCCUGGUCUCGGUGUCAACAGUGUUGAUCCUGUACCACGUCCUGACGGGCAAAGGGGAACGGGUCAGCGUCGGAUGGUUCCUGGAGGAGACCUCCCCCUACAUGUGGGCCACCCUGGGCAUCGGAUUUGCCGUCGCGCUGUCCGUCGUCGGAGCGGCCAUGGGAAUCCACACGACCGGAGUCAGCAUCGUUGGCGGGGGUGUCAAAGCGCCCAGGAUCAAGACCAAGAAUUUGAUCUCGGUUAUCUUCUGCGAGGCUGUUGCCAUUUACGGUCUGAUCACGGCUAUCGUCCUGUCCGGUAUGUUGGAAAGCUUCUCCUGGGGAACGAUUGUGGCCAACGAGAACGUCCGGUACAACAACUGGUUCUCCGGUUAUGUAAUGUUCGGUGCUGGCCUGGCCGUCGGUCUGGUUAAUCUGUUCUGUGGUAUCGCUGUCGGAAUUGUGGGUUCCGGUGCUGCUCUGGCAGAUGCGGCCAACUCUGCUCUGUUCGUCAAGAUUCUCAUCGUGGAAAUCUUCGGAUCGGCUAUCGGUUUGUUCGGACUGAUUGUUGGCAUCUACAUGACCUCCAAGGUUAAGAUGGGAGACAAGGAGUAAGCGAGGGAGCAUAAUGACCAAGAUUGGGAUUUACAAUAUGCUCCAUUCAAAAGUAGAGGGAAAGUAUUACUUGCAAACAAGAACAAGCAGUCACAGUCACUUAUUUAAGAACCAACAAGCACAGAUUAAUCAAGGGCCAUUCCAAAUCAACUUAAUAUAUAUGUAAUGUAUGCCAAGACUCGUACCAACCGUAAGUCGUCUAUAUUUUCCGUAUACAUAAACAUGUCAUAGAAGAAAAAAAACCUCAAACGAAAUAUUUCCAAUUCUUUCUCUUUAUAUACGGAGAGCACUGUUUAUGAUAUGUAAAUUGGUGAAUAUUGUUUUGUUUUACAUUUAUUUUAUUUUACUAAAUAGUGCCGACAAAAUCGGACAAAAAUUGUUCGUCUAUUGUAGCAUACAAACAAAAACAUUAUCGAUAAGCUUCUACCGUUAGUUCUCGUACAGGUGGUGAAAUUGCAACAGCUUGAAUUCAUCUGCAUAUGUAACGAACGCGAAAUUAAAAAGUCAUCAUUUGAAAUACAUGUAGUUCAACAGCCACCCCCAAAA